rnacentral:lncRNA from 1 species
GAAAUGUCAAAGGUGAAUAUGGGCUCAUUCAUCUGCCAUGUAUACCACAUAAGAUGCAUCUAUGAGAUGGUUACAUGCGCGAUUAUUAUUGACCCGCAACAUGGUGUUUUGCAAGGUAACUUGCUCAAUAAUAUAAUAUAGAGCAUAAUUUCUAGAUUUUUUUUAUUCAAGAUAGUUCUUCUUGAUAAGUUGGUUUACAUCAUAGUUGGUUUAGCAAGAUAAUUUAUUGAGUGCCUCAAUUUAAUAGCUAAACUAUUGCUUAUGAGAACAAAGUUAUCUAUCUCUGUUUGAUAUAUGUUAUAUAAGAAAGUAUAUUACAUUCUCCCCUCACAUGUGGUUCAGGGUCAGAAACCAAAUAAUUCAAUUUCAAUAUUAUUGAUGUGCGGUGUAUAUUUUGAUUAACACCAUAUAGCACAUAUUGCAAAGCAUUCCAUAUGCAUUUAUUGACCUAAAGAAAGUAACUAUAUUCUCAUUGC